CAUUGCAAAAGUUUGCACGAUCGUUUGGAGGUGACGGCUGAGAUGACUAUAUAACGGUGCCAAAGCUCGCAAGGCAGGAGUGAUGAGAAGAUGUAGUAGAAGAACCUUCGUUGUCAUUACUGUCAGCGCGGAGAACUAUUGCGACGAGGUGGGGUAGUGGGGGAAGGCGAAGAGGUUGGGUUUAAGAUGGAAAAAAUAGGACGACGAAGGAUUUAGGAGCGAUGUACCAGUGCAAGGGUGCAAAGAACGAAAAGAUGGAAGCAAGCUUUUGGGGCGAUGUAUCGGCGUGAGGGCACAAGCAACGAAGAUAUAGGCUCAGGCAACGAAGAGAUGUAAGGAAGGUGGAAAGCAUGUGGGAAAAUGGGCCAGCAUUCAUUGUGUGGGUCCAUCACCAACCAAUAGGAUAGAUGUAGGUGGACCCUACCACUAUAGCUCAAAUUGUUGAGGUUUCGCCACGUGGAUUAAAAUCAUGAGGAUUAAUAGUAUUUUAUAGAUUUUAUAGAUAGUUAAUAGGCACAAUUGAAAGUAGUACCAAUUUGGAUCUUUCAUUACUCUGCUCGGUAAAGAGAGAGACAAUAGGGAGAGUGAGCCAAAGAGACCUCGAAGGUUGCAAAAAAAGUUGUUGACUACGAUUGCGGCAUUCACUCAUUGCAAAAGUUUGCACGAUCGUUUGGAGGUGGCAGCUGAGAUGACUAUAUAACGGUGCCAAAGCUCGCAGGGCAGGAGAGAUUAGGAGAUGUAGUAGAAGAAGCCUUCGCCAUCAUUACUGUCAGUGUGGAGAACUAUUGCGGCGAGGUGGGGUAGUGGGGGAAGGCGAAGAGGGUGGGUUUAAGAUGAAAAAAAAAGGACAGCGAAGGAUUUAGGAGCGAUGUACCGGUGCAAAGGUGCAAAGAACAAAAAGACGGGAGCAAGCUUUUGGGGCGAUGUAUCGGCGUGAGGGCGCACAAGCAACGAAGAGAUAUAGUCUCAAGCAACGAAGAGAUGUAAGGAAGGUGGAAAGCAU
rnacentral:lncRNA from 1 species